UUUACUCUGAAAUACACCUGCCCACUUUAUGAUUGAAAGAAAACAAACAUUCAUUAAAGAACUAAAAAAGAAGAAGACGAAGAUCGGAGAUAAAUUGCAACUAAUAAGAGCAUACCCACCAAUUAACGUGUUUCUGAAUAAGAAACUUCUUUGAAUCAUUUCAACAAAUAGGUUAUUGGCAUCCCACCAGAGCUUUUAUGUAUGUAAAAAUGUCACCCCUUCGCCUCCUCAAAUGCAACAGAACCUCCAUUACCAGUUUUAAUACACAUAAUUGAACUUGAAAAUUAGGGCUCAGAUUUGUCACCUGAUUGAAGGAGGAGGCCAACUGCGUUGACUAUUUAUGACCGGUUGGCCUCCAUGUG
rnacentral:lncRNA from 1 species